AUACGUAGGGGGCGAGCGUUGUCCGGAAUGAUUGGGCGUAAAGGGCGCGUAGGCGGCCCGGUAAGUCUGGAGUGAAAGUCCUGUUUUUAAGAUGGGAAUUGCUUUGGAUACUGUCGGGCUUGAGUGCAGGAGAGGUAAGUGGAAUUCCCAGUGUAGCGGUGAAAUGCGUAGAGAUUGGGAGGAACACCAGUGGCGAAGGCGACUUACUGGACUGUAACUGACGCUGAGGCGCGAAAGUGGUGGGAGCAAACAGGAUUAGAUACCCUGGUAGUCCACACUGUAAACGAUGAAUGCUAGGUGUAGGGGGUAUCGACCCCUUCUGUGCCGCAGUCAACACAAUAAGCAUUCCGCCUGGGGAGUACGGCCGCAAGGUUGAAACUCAAAGGAAUUGACGGGG
rnacentral:rRNA from 1 species